AGCUUCUGACUCUCUCCAAGAUCUCAGAGCACACAGUAAAAUGAUACAAAAAUGAAAUAAUUGCACAGCUGGCAAAGCAAAGAAUACUAACUCAAUUUGAGAAGACCAAGAUUGACGAUGGAAUGUGCAGUUAGCAUCUGAAACUGUAAAAUCUCAAAGUAGUAGGAAGUUACUGGCUCUUAUCAUGCCAUCUAUCUAUUUAAAGCUCCAAUAAUCUAACAACAUCAAAGUUUGAAAGCCCAUGUAGAUCAUAGUUUCAGCUGCUUUUUAGGUUUUUUCGCCUUUCCAUUUGAAAACUCCUCUAGUUUCUGGCCAAAAACCACAUUCAGGACUAACAUGGAAGGCAAAAGAUAAACGAUAGAAGAUGUGUAUACUGAUAGAAUACCUUGUGCUGUUUCUCCUUCUUCAACUUCUUCCUCUUCUUGUUUUUCUUACUUUUCUUUGAGAUGGAUAUUUUUAUAUCUUCUUCUUCUUCAGCAGAUCCCUGAAAAAGAUUGUGCCAACUUAGUCAGGCUUGAAUACUUAAUAGAUCUUUGACAUGCGAAAGAUCUUAAUAGAAAUCACAAAUCGUGUAAAAUUGUGAUGUCCUGUAC
rnacentral:lncRNA from 1 species